rnacentral:rRNA from 1 species
AUGGCCACGAAGGAGCCGAUCCCGCUGCUGACGCCCCACAAGAUGGGCCAGUUCGAGCUCUCCCACCGGGUGGUGCUCGCGCCGCUCACGCGCUGCCGCUCCUACGCCAACGUGCCGCAGCCGCACGCGGCGUUGCACUACUCGCAGCGGGCGACAAAGGGCGGCCUGCUCAUCGCCGAGGCCACCGGCGUCUCCGCCACCGCCCAGGGGUUUCCUGAUACCCCUGGCAUCUGGACGCAGCAGCAGCCGGAUGGGCAUGCGCCGAUCUCCAGCACCGACAAGCAGAUACCGCCUGAUGCUGAGUCCGGCAUGGUCUACUCCAAGCCUCGACGGCUUCAUACAGACGAGGUACCGUUGAUCGUAGACGAUUUCAGACGGGCCGCUCGGAAUGUCAUUGAGGCGGGAUUCGAUGGUGUCGAGAUCCACGGAGCACAUGGGUUUCUCUUGGAGCAGUUCAUGAAAGAUAGCUCAAACGACCGUACUGACAGGUAUGGUGGCAGCCUUGAGAACCGAUGCCGCUUUGCCGUGGAGGUGAUUGAUGCUAUCGUCCAUGAGAUUGGCGCGGAUCGUGUCGGAAUCAGGUUGUCUCCGUUCACCGACUACAUGGAUUGCUUCGAUUCUAAUCCACAUGUGCUCGGUAUCUACAUGGUACAACAACUCAAUAAGCACAAAGAGUUUCUUUAUUGCCACAUGGUAGAGCCUCACACGACCAUUGUGGAUGGUCGCAUGCAGAUAUCCCAUGGGCUAUUGCCCUUUAGGAAAGCAUUUAAUGGCACUUUUAUUGCCGCGGGAGGGUAUGAUCGAGAGGAAGGCAACAAAGUGGUGAUUGAUGGUUAUACUGAUCUCGUUGCCUAUGGGAGGCUAUUUCUUGCUAAUCCGGAUUUGCCUAAGAGAUUCGAGCUAGAUGUCCCCUUGAACAACUAUGACCGGUCCACCUUCUACACGCAGGAUCCUGUCAUUGGUUACACAGAUUAUCCUUUCCUUGAUGACUCAAAUACAGAGUAG